rnacentral:piRNA from 1 species
UNUUCAGUGUUGUAGCCUGGCACCUGAA